UACAGAGGGUGCGAGCGUUGUUCGGAAUCACUGGGCUUAAAGGGCGCGUAGGCGGCCUGCCAAGUCAGGGGUGAAAGCCCCCAGCUCAACUGGGGAAGUGCCUUUGAUACUGGCGGGCUCGAGCGAGGCAGGGGUCGUGGGAACUUCCGGUGGAGCGGUGAAAUGCGUUGAUAUCGGAAGGAACGCCGGUGGCGAAGGCGGUUCUCUGGGCCUGUACUGACGCUGAGGAACGAAAGCGUGGGGAGCGAACAGG
rnacentral:rRNA from 1 species